AGUGGACAAGUUAUCAUAUGAGGGUUAGGUAGCAUUUACUGAGAAUCAUUUGGAAGAUAUCUUUGAGUCCGCAGAUAAACCUCUGGAAGGAAGACAUUGGUGAUUGUUUGUCGGGGAUCCUUUUCAAUGCUUGUCAGCGUGUAUUAAUCUAUCAGAUGCAUUAAGAAGCUCCCCUCCAGAGACUACCAUUUCACACAUGCCUGUCCACCAGGAUGGCUCUUGCAAUGGCUUACAACACCAUGCUGCCCUUGGAAGGGACAAGGUAGUGGAAUUUUCUGUUUUUGGUUGAUUGUUGUGGAAUUCUGAUUAUAUGAUAUGGAAGCAUGGUUUUUGAUUAGUUAGACAGUUUUUCACUCUUUUUCUGCUUUGAGGCUAAAUGUGUCUCACCUUUGAUCUUCUCUCUCUUUGAUAGAAAAAAGGAACUUUGUUAAGGAAAGAUGGUAAAAGGAUAAGGAGUUGGAAAUUGAAACCCAAGAAAGAAACCAAACUUUGUUUAAGUUUAGUGCAGUUUAUUUAAUUUGAUUUUUCAAGUAAUUUCAAAGUUUGGUUGUUUCCAGAAAGGGGAUUAUCAUCGGUAUUUGACGAGUUCAAAGGCUAGGGCAGCAAAUCAGUCUCUAAAGAGUGAAUUUUAGUUAGACCUUAGUAUUGGAGGAGAUAAAUUUUUAUUUAUUUAUUGAAGUUCCUUGUUCUUUGGCAAUAGAACUUUGUAUUGGGGAUUAUUAUUUGAUUAUGCAGUUUGGAUACAUAUACAUAUUUGGAUUAUGCAA